CACUAGUGUCACAUGAAUAUUUUUCUUUUUAACAUUAGGAAAAAAAAGAAAAAAAAAAGAAAAGAGAUUGCACAGCCGGGGCGUAGCGUGCGGCAUCUAGCUAGUGUUUGCUAGAUAGCUUAGUAGAUCAUAAGAUCCAAGUUCUAAGAUCCGGAAACACCCCAAGCGAUGUGUACCGAGCAGAAAUAUUAACAGGCUUAAACUUACGACCAAUAAAUUGGUAUACAAAGAGCCAGUUCGUCAGCAUGUGGAAUUGCUAGAUAAACAAGCCUCGAUACCAUGCUUGCAUCUCUCUUGAUGCGGUUCUUCAAAUAAGCAAAACUUACUCGUGUCUUUCUGCACAUACCACCUAAGGUAUUUUCAGGCAAAACCAGAGUGGUUCACAUCUUCACAAUUCAAUAGGUUCAACCCAAACAAAGAGCAACGAAGAACCAGUGAGAAACCUGCUGGUCAGCAAACUGAAUUACGGUCCCACAAAACACUGGAACCUGCAUCACUCAACAAAGAUUAUGUAUUCUUAAUCUUUUUUUUUGGGGGCAAAAAUCCUCAUUAUUAACUUGUAAAAUCCAACUCAAGUGAGAUUCAUUGAAAAUGGCCCCAAAAA